rnacentral:rRNA from 1 species
UGGGGAAUAUUGCACAAUGGGCGCAAGCCUGAUCCAGCCAUGCCGCGUGUAUGAAGAAGGCCUUCGGGUUGUAAAGUACUUUCAGCGGGGAGGAAGGGAGUAAAGUUAAUACCUUUGCUCAUUGACGUUACCCGCAGAAGAAGCACCGGCUAACUCCGUGCCAGCAGCCGCGGUAAUACGGAGGGUGCACGCGUUAAUCGGAAUUACUGGGCGUAAAGCGCACGCAGGCGGUUUGUUAAGUCAGAUGUGAAAUCCCCGGGCUCAACCUGGGAACUGCAUCGGAUACUGGCAAGCUUGAGUCUCGUAGAGGGGGGUAGAAUUCCAGGUGUAGCGGUGAAAUGCGUAGAGAUCUGGAGGAAUACCGGUGGCGAAGGCGGACCCCUGGACGAAGACUGACGCUCAGGUGCGAAAGCGUGGGGAGCAAACAGG